rnacentral:ncRNA from 2 species
UUGAGCUGUAUGCGGGGAAACUCGCACGUACAGUUCUUAGGGGGCCCCUCUUUCCGCAAGGAGGAGGGGCUACCCUAC